UACUAGAGUAGCACUCGCAUAUCAAUAAGCGGAGGAAAAGAAACUGACAAGGAUUCCCCUAGUAACGGCGAGUGAAGCGGGAAGAGCUCAAAUUUGAAAUCUUAAAGGGUUUCCCUUUACGAAUUGUAGUUUAAAGAAGUGUUUUCUGUUGAGGUUUUGGUAAAAGUUCUUUGGAAUAGGACAUCAUAGAGGGUGAGAAUCCCGUAUUUGACCUUUACUUUCAACUUUGUGAUACACUUUCAAAGAGUCGGAUUGUUUGGGAAUGCAGUCCAAAAUGGGUGGUAAAUUUCAUCUAAAGCUAAAUAUUGGCGAGAGACCGAUAGCGAACAAGUACCGUGAGGGAAAGAUGAGAAGAACUUUGAAAAGAGAGUUAAACAGUACGUGAAAUUGUCAAAAGGGAAGCGUUUGACACCAGUGUUGUUUUUCUGAAAAUCAAUUAAAGAACUGUUUAUGCUAAGCUUGUUUAGACUUUAUCAGCUAUCUGUUUAGUUUUGAGCUUUUCUUUAAUGCACUUUUCAGUUAACAAGUCAACAUCAAUUUCUUUUGCUGUAAAAAAGCUUGAGGAAGGUGGCUUGAGAUUCGUCUUAAGUGUUUAUAGCCUCUUGCCUAUGCAGUCGGAGAGAUUGAGGUCUGCAGCGUAGAUCCUUCGGGGCUAAAUGCAUUUGUGCUAAGUUAUAGCAUUUUAUAGACAACUUGUUGACUAUGAUUUGUCUUGUAGCUUACUCGCUUAUGUUAUUUUACCUACGCUUAGGAUGUUGAGUCAUCACACAUCUCU
rnacentral:rRNA from 1 species